rnacentral:rRNA from 1 species
CAGCCGCAAGGCAUGUAUGAAGGUGCUGCAUGGUUGUCGUCAGCUCGUGCCGUGAGGUGUCGGCUUAAGUGCCAUAACGAGCGCAACCCUUUCUGCCAGUUACUAACAGGCAAUGCUGAGGACUCUGGCGGUACUGCCAUCGUAAGAUGUGAGGAAGGUGGGGAUGACGUCAAAUCAGCACGGCCCUUACGUCCGGGGCUACACACGUGUUACAAUGGGGGGUACAGAAGGCAGCUUACCGGCGACGGUUGGCCAAUCCCGAAAGCCCCUCUCAGUUCGGACUGGAGUCUGCAACCCGACUCCACGAAGCUGGAUUCGCUAGUAAUCGCGCAUCAGCCACGGCGCGGUGAAUACGUUCCCGGGCCUUGUACACACCGCCCGUCAAGCCAUGAAAGCCGGGAGUACCUGAAGUGCGUAACCGCAAGGAGCGCCCUAGGGUAACACUGGUAAUUGGGGCUAAGUCGUAACAAGGUAGCCGUACCGGAAGGUGCGGCUGGAACACCUCCUUU